CUCACAAGGGGGUGUAUGCUAAUUGGCCAAGGGAGUAUGAAGUACCAGAAUUCAUUUGGGCCUUGAAUUGAGGCCCAAGGUGAAAAAUAAGGAGGAUCAUAAUGUUCCCUUCCUUCGUCUUCUACAUUGCUCAGCAGCGACCAAGGGAGAAAGAAAAAUAAAUAAGUCGCGAAGGACCUAGCCGCGCCGACUUCAUCACCGGUAGCGGCGCUUCCACAUGGGGAAGCUUCUCGCGCCAUCUCCCCUUUCUUCCUCCUAAUUGAAACCAAAAUACAACCUCCACCUAAACAAAUCGAAAACUACCAUGAUUCCUGGACGGAACAAAAUCCAGCGGCGAACAAAAACGGAAAGGGAUUCGAUUACAAGCGUUACACCACUGUACAUGAAUCAAUCAAUGCAAAGAGAAGAGAGAGCCUACCCACGAUGGAGAAGGCGGCGGAUUCGUCGGCGACGUCGAAUUCGAACUCAGGUGAGAACAAGGUCAUGUAAAUGGUGAUGAGUUCUGUUAUGCAGGAAUUUGCAGAAUUGUGAUUUUGCCAAGAGGAAGAAGCAGUUGAAUUGUUCUGCAGAAUUGAUUUAGUCGAAGGGGAAGAAGAUGGUGGUGAGAAGUUUGUUAGCAGAUGAUAGUUCUGGAAUCAUGAAGAAGAGAGCUUCAAGGCUAACUCAUUAUCUUAUAUAGUUUGACCUUGAUGGAUGUUAAUACUCAUGCUGAAUUUUUAUUACGACAAAAAAAAAUGGUGAAUGGGUCAAUUUUCAAAUGAAUAAAGCUGACCCAAUUUGAUAUGAAAUGAAAUGAACUUCUAAAACUUCUAAAGUCAA